GCGUCGCCUCACGCCAUGGUCGAGCGACCCACACGCCGGGGUGCCUGUCCUUGGCCUGUCCAGUGACCUCCUCGCCAGGUUAUUUUCGCUGCUCGCAUUCUACGAAAGCGUCAGGGCAUGCCCUCAGAAGAAGUCGCGCUCCAUGCGCUCACUCACAUGAUGGUGCGCGGUCGAAUGAUAGCAUUCUGAUGUUGGAAAGAGGGGCGUCCGAAACCCCGAGGCGGCGGCCCGCCGCGUUGUGCUGUAGCCACCGCGGGCAGAGGACGAUAUUCUCGUCUCCGUCUUACGUCCGAGGCACCAUUCGAGCAUCUGCCAUCUCGGUGAAUAACCGGAGAGGAGAAAGAAGACUUCGACUAUGCUUACUCGUCCGAUAGCGCGUUCCAGCCGGCGGGCAGACGAUGUCGACCAUGCGCCACCAUGGUACCAGUUGGGCGGCUACGCUCGAGAACAGCGGCGCACUCGUGAUGCACGUACGCGUGAUGGGUUCGCCCAACAUUCAGAUGGAAAU
rnacentral:lncRNA from 1 species